UGAGAAGAGCUCCAAACCCUACUUAAACCCUUGUUUAAGACAUAUUUUGUAUAUUCACUUUCGGAAACGGCGUCGGAUUAGCAAGGCGGAGCUACUCGUCGGAAGGGUUAGAAAUAGUUAGGAUGACAAUUUGGCGUUUGCUUAUUCGGACACCAUUGGCGGUGGAUGCAGUUUCACGAUAAGGAUCACUUUAUGCCCCGGGGGAAAUCGUAAUUUUGACAUAAGCUCAGGAGAUGAUAGUAAUUAUUCCUAUUACUUAAUGCAAGUAGACAUACAGCAGAAUUACUGCUACCAAAGUGCCGAAGGGUGUAACCAUCACCAGACAUCAAGAAGUCACUAGCUACUAUUACCACCUAUGGAUUGAGUACAAGUCACAAGAGGAUUCAUUAUACUCACAGCUGCAAGGUGUUGCAUCUCCUUCUCCAAUUUAGAGGUUCUUCCAAUUAUUGCAGUUGCAGCAGCAGUUUCGUCCCGUGAACAUUUGUUGCAUAUAUGAGUUGAUCCGUGGACUAACUCAUCACAUAGCACACAAUGCUUUGAGAGAUAGUAAUAAUCAAUUCUAGUUCGCUGAGGAUUUGAACCAUAAGAUAGGCGCUUAGCAGAGGUAUCUCUACCUGGGCGAGGCAUCUCUGAAAACCACCGGUGUAAGUCUGAACCGAGAAGUCCAAAUACCCGCUGGAGUGCUGGAAUUAUCUGUUUGUUAAUGUAAUAUAUAUCAUUUAGUCUGUAAGGAGAAUCGAUAGCCAAAAGCUCCAAAGGAUCUACAACCAUAUCAACCAGGCGAGCACCUAGAUCUCCAUGGAUCACAACAUAAGGCACUCUCUCUCCAUAGCGAGGUUCUGCACGGCGAUCUGCUUUCAUUGCUUUAGUAGCAACAAUUGCUGCUGGUGGGAGUGAUGAGCCCGCAUUUGCACUGUAAGUGCCCAAGCAAACUUCUUUUGCAAAUAUAAAAUCUUGAAGAGACACUCUGCCAGAUAGAAUCCGUGUCCACUGGCGCUGUAAGUAUCCUUUGAUCUGUAUCCAAAACAUGGAAAUUUUCAUCUGAUUAAGAAAUAUCUCAAAUUUAAAGAGAAAUUCUAGCAAGUAUAAAAAUAAAGAAGGCUCCGUCGAGAAAUUCUUAUCUAAACUUUUACCGCAUAGAAUUAUAAACUAUCCAUUGGUGAUGUGUCACGUGGCAUAAUUAUGUUAAAUAAUCCAAUCAAUGAACAAACACUUAAUCCUAACUAAUGAGCAUUUAAAAUUCGCAAAUUGAUGUGUUGUUCAUUGAUUGGGAAAUUUAACAUAAUUAAUACCACAUGGCAUAUCAUUAAUGGGUAGUUCAUAAUCCUAUGUAGUGGAUUUCUUAUAGAAUUUACUGGCCCUGAGUAGUAUAUACUUUCUAUAUGGUUAACAGAUUAAUAAACAAUGAGUUGGUGCUUUUGAAAUGAAAUCCAACCAGACUCUAUGGUGCUCAAUGCUGGACAAAGUAACAAGGUGAAAACAUAUGCAUAUUCCCACCUCAGAUAUGUUCUGAUGUUCAAAAAAGAGUCUCAGGGACUGCUCCAUGAUUUUGGCAACAGCAACACAAGUAUCUCUCCGGACAGUCUCAAUACCUUUGGCAUCAAAAACAGGUUCAAUCUGGUCAGCAUUCUCAUAGCUGUAACCAACAUAACGUUUUUUAGUGAGGAGAAAACAUGGAUGAUAGACUUUCUCCAAUUUCAAUGUGACCGGAUCUGGAUUCAUGACAGUUACAGCUGAAGCUAUCUCACGCCCAAUUUGGAAAGCUUCUUUGCGACUGCGUCCCUUCAGAAGGACAAACAUGCUGCAUUACGAUAAGACCAGACACAGAUGAGACAAUGCAAUGCAAGAGAGAUGAGAUAAACUGAGCACAACCCUCUUCAAGAGAAUUUGACAUCAUCAGUCACUAAAAUUACCACAAACAUGCACAAGUAUGCAUGCAUGUUCCAUAACAAAAUUUAAGAGAAAAUAGUUGCAAGUAAGCUAAUUUUGACGCUCAA